GAUUUUUGUGACCACGCCCCCGAGGCGGAAUUUCACCUGGCGAAUUCCACCUGGUCAUAUGCUGUGUGUGAACGAACAGUGAGCACGUUUAGCGUGAGCAGCUAACCAAAAGCCUGCUAGCUAACGCUGCAACCGGAGCAAACCAAUACAAAGCACGAAAUCGCGGAUACAUGCAACAGAACGAGCGAUCAUAUCCUCCUAAACUGCAGUGUAACACGCCAUCAAGACGACAUCUCAGCUACGACUUCCUUCAUCUACGGACACUCUCCAAAAGACUUGGGCAUUUAGCUUUCCUUGCUAUUCACAACCUGGGCUAGUCAUAGGGAUGGUGUGGUGUAAAGCCUGUGGAAACAGCGUGGGUGUGUGUGUGGACCGCUGCUGUGACAUCUGCUGCCAGGGCUGUGUGAGCUGCUGUGGUUGCCUGUGCCCCCGUGACUGUCUCUACACAUUCUGUGCCAUGUAUUACCGCCUUGCCCACUACUGUUCUGUCGGUCAGAAACCAGAGCCGGCCUAUGCCAUGCCUGGAUCACAGAAAUGCCUCAGUGUGGGAAAAGAGGUCUAGAUGACACUUUAGCCAAGUAGAUGAAGACACAGCGGAGACAGAAGAAAAGGACUGUCCCCAAUGGCAGUCCUCCUCACCAGAAUUUUUCAUCACCAUUCACCUCUGUCUGUAUUGAUUGGGUCACCAUUUGCUUUUGAGUAGAUUGUAAAGAAUUCUGUGCUUAUUAUUUUGUGAUCGUUAAAUAAUGCCAACUCAAAAAUGAUCUUCUGUAAUAUUAGGCCAUUCUCUCUCUCUCUCCCCCCCCCCCCCCCUUGAAAAACCUCCAAUUUUUUUGAUCAUGUAUACCCAUACCUAUACUCUUUGCUCCAUAACAAAAGUUAACAAAUGAUGGCAAUUUCAAUAAAGGCCCUGCCAGGCAAAUUCA
rnacentral:lncRNA from 1 species